GGGUUUUGUUACUGGACUGGACUGGACUGGGCUUUUUUUUCUUUUUUUUUUUUUUUAAAAAAAAGAGAGAAAUUGCGCAUCCUCGCCAUGGCGGUGCUAUCUGAAUCUCAGUACAAUGAACUAUUAGGGGAUCUCGUCUUGCAAGAUACGGAGAGGACGAGCGUACCGCAGUUACAGUACGAUUUACAGGGGGAUCGAGUCACUAGAGCUGCAAGGAGAGUGCAACGGAGACCGGAUAAUUCUACACAAAACGAAAAACGGAGCCGUCGUCUUACAAGCGUCAAUCCUAUCGAGGGGUCAAGACGUAGAGGAAUUAAACCGCAGAACAAGCUUUCCAUCGUUAAUGAAUUAAUUUCAG